AUUGAACGCUGGCGGCAUGCCUUACACAUGCAAGUCGAACGGAAGCACGGGGCAACCUGGUGGCGAGUGGCGGACGGGUGAGGAAUGCAUCGGAACGUACCUUUCAGUGGGGGAUAACGUAGCGAAAGUUACGCUAAUACCGCAUAUUCUGUGAGCAGGAAAGCAGGGGAUCGACAGACGUUGUGAUGAUUGAGCGGCCGAUGUCAGAUUAGCUAGUUGGUGAGGUAAAGGCUCACCAAGGCGACGAUCUGUAGCGGGUCUGAGAGGAUGAUCCGCCACACUGGAACUGAGACACGGUCCAGACUCCUACGGGAGGCAGCAGUGGGGAAUUUUGGACAAUGGGGGCAACCCUGAUCCAGCCAUGCCGCGUGAGUGAAGAAGGCCUUCGGGUUGUAAAGCUCUUUCGGCCGGGAAGAAAUCGCACGGGCUAAUACCCUGUGUGGAUGACGGUACCGGAAUAAGAAGCACCGGCUAACUACGUGCCAGCAGCCGCCGUAAGAC
rnacentral:rRNA from 1 species